GAAGGAGGAAACCGCCGCCGAGAGCCGCUAGCUUCCCCGUCGACGUCCAGACGAGCCCAGCUGUGCUGCUAAGCUAACCGCUGCUAGCCUGCAGCUGGACGGUAAACGUGUCAAAGAAUCCUCCUCGAGCCGACCAUGUCCCCUGGGGAGGGACGCUAUUAUCGAAGGCUAAUUUUGAAGCUAUGACAAUAACUCGCAUUGAUGUCCGGUGCGAAAGUACGCGCUCCUUUCUUCUAACCACUUGAACCUUUGACGACUAAUGUUGUAAUAAAGAGCUCACGACGUUGCCGUAUCACGGCAGGUGCAUGGCAAAAACGUUCGAAGAGGGCAAAAACAGCUGUGAUAGGGAGACUGGAAAUUACAAAUGGACACGCUGUUUCAAUGUACAAUGAGAUGAAAUAUGCUCAGCUUUGAUUUAUACCGCGCUCUGGCAAGUAUAAAGGGUUGUUUGCCACAGCGUCGAAAAGAAUGCGGCACAGAGCCCAUUUUUGCUUACAUUCUAUUCUUAUGAAGAACGACGACGACAACAACAAAGUUCAUUAUUAUAAAUAAUUUUCUUAGUAGAAUACUUAUGUAUUUCAUACAAAUCUUUGAAAUCUAAGGUACUGUAUGUUUUUUAAAAAUAUUAAAUAUAUAAAAAGCAUAAAUGGAAAUGCAAUUAAUCCGUUCCAGCACCACCCAAAAAUAAAUAUAUUUUCAUAAGACAUAAAUUCACUCAGGACUGUAUAAAAACACACAGCAAUAACAUUUGCUCUCGACAACCUGUAAACAGGACAAACGCAAGCACAAAACGCGACUACGUCUAACAUACAGGGUGAUUGAAAAAUAACUCCCUAUUUUAAAAUAUUUAUAAUUUAUUCAUAUGUUAAAAAAAGUAAAUAGUUAAAUAUCAGACACAGAACCUUAAAAAUCUACUUAAGUACAGUCAUGAAGUAUUUGUACUUCAUGACUUCCCAGUACUGACAGUGACAAAGAAAAGCCUUAGCGGAGUCCAACCCUCACCGGGAACAAAUGAGACUUGCUGGCAUCGCAGACCCAACUCUGACACCAGUCGUACAGGGACCGAACGGUCCGUAUGGGGGUCCGGUACUCCAUACUACCAGAUGAUCCCCACAAGACUCACCAGGGAAAAAGCUCAAAAACCUUCUCUAAAAGUCAACAAAGCACAUGGUUGGGCGAACUUCCAUGCACCGUCUCGGAUCCUCCUGAGGGCCCAAGGCCAGGGCCAGGACCAAAACCCCAUUGCUCUUCUAAAAUCUGAGGUUGAACUUCCUGACAGACCCUUCUCUUCAGAAUCACUGACCAGAGAGGCUCAAGAGUGUGAAACACUCUCCAUCAGUCUUCCACCAUUUUUAUUACAUUUGGCACAAACUAUAUCAGAGAAAAGUACAGUACCAUUUGCUUGCAGGUUUUGAAAGCUUUAUUUAACACAUCAAAAUGGCAAAAUAUCAGGACUCUUAUACAGAGAGUUGCUUAAAUAAAAAGCAUGAUUAACCAUAUCUAGAAAUACAAUAAGCAGUGGUUGCCUUUUUUUCUUCAUAUUACAGAGGUUACAUUUAAAUAAACAAAUGAACAAUAAGCAAACAGCGAACACAGUUUGAAUUUGGCAUCGUCACAAUCAUAAACAGGGAAAGUGUUUAUACAAUCAUUUCUGAAAAGUGCUUCUUUGCUUGAGAAAUUUCCAAUUGUUUGAUGAAAUUUGGGGCCAAAAAAAAGCCCAGAUCAUUAGUAAAUCUUUAUGGCACUAAGUCGGGAUGCUAGAAAUGGUUACAAACUGUACAUUGUGCUGUAUAAUAGUUAGUUUUAAAUCAAAUGCAGUAAUCACACACAGCACAAUGCAACUUUUAAAAUCACCCGUGUGCCUUGGAGAGUUGCAUGAUAUCUCAGUUGUAUUUUGAAAUCUUUGACAAAUGUAGAACCUGUGAUGUUUGCUGGGUGGAGAAGUAAGGCAGUCAGCACAGCAGGUAGGAUUUUUUUGUUUUUGCUUUCAAAUCAAGACGGUUGGUGAAAAAAAAAAAAGAUUGCUACCAGAGUGAAUUCUAAUUGUCUUGAGGGUCCCUUGUCAUUUUCACAGUGAGAAUUUUCCCAGUGUAUGCAGCAUACCUUGCCAGUUAAAAAGGCCGACUUCCACUUGUGUAUUCAACACUUCAGAGGAGGCCGUCUUGCUCGAAAACCGAGGGCAGGAGCGAGAAGUCGAAAGAUACCACAUCUGAAAGGGAGGAGAAAGCGGCACCUGCGUGCUGAACCACGACAAGGAGGCGCAGGUCCAUCCCAUCAACUUCCACUUUUCUGGGGUCAGGUAGUAGGGGAAGCAGCUUUAGCAGGGAAGCCCAGACGUUUGCUUUUUAGCAGAGUUUUUCCACCGAUGAUGACUUGGCAGCAAGGCUAGCCGAAGAUCCGCCACUUUCAAGCUGCUGUCUAAAACUCUAUCAUGUCAAAGCCCAAAGGGCUGUCCCCGGUCGUCAUGGUAGCGGAAGCCGUACUCACCAUUGGCCAAGCAGCGUAUGGGGCGGAGUGAGGACUGGUUAGAAACCGGCUGAUUACAGCAGGACAAUAAAUAAAAGAAACAAAAAUAAAUCACAGCUCAGCAGAACAACACAAUCUGACUGAGGAUGAUCAAGGAC